CUAGAUUUUUUUUUUUUUAGCUAAAUUCUCGAUUCUCCUUCGAGUCCAUGUUCCAUAUAUCGUUUCCCAUUCGGUUCCUUUCCCUUCCUUUUGACGACAUCGAGGCAAAAUCCGGGCGCCGUUGGAUUUUUAAAUGCUUUUGGCUCCGUCUACGAGCCGUUUCCACCCGCCUCACCUCCACGCUCUACCUCACCCCCCCCCUCGCAAAUGGGCACAAAAACCAACAGGAAACUUUGAUGGGGUUGUGAUGGUUUUGCAUUUAGGAUCACAUGAAUUCCGGAUAGACCCCAUCCUUUCUCUUGGUGGGUUGGUAUGCUAUUCCGAGGUGUAAAUUUAAAAUCUCAAUUGGGUUACGUUCUGAUGAAUUAUGAAUAAAAUGGAGAGCAGAUCACCUUUACUAUUUUGGUAUUGUUCUAAUGAUAAUUGUCAUAAAAUGAAUUGGUUGUGUCAUUUUUUUCCCCUUUUUUUCAAGUGUUGGACCAUGGUAAUGUAUUGAUCGGGAGUAACUUCUUUUCUUUUCUCAUGAUACCUUAGGGAUAUGGUUGUAUGGGAGAA